AGGCCUUGAAGGAAAUACUUACCUUUCCAGCCAGCAGCACCACUCUUACCUGCUGUGUUGGACCCAGACCAGUGCCUCACAUCACAAAGUGCUUCUGGAGACAGACAGGAUGUGGGCUUGUACAGAUUCAGAAUAUUUUGAGCAAUUGAAUCCACUUUGGCUUUAGAUAAAGAUUCUGCAUAGGAACAACAUACCUCUUUCAGGAUGUGUAUGGCCAAAACAUCAGAUAGCAGGGCCUCUGAUACCUGGCCUGCUUACACAC